CGCCCCUUUCCCCUUUUCCAUGGGAGAAAAUAUCUUGGAGGAGGAGUCAUGAAUAGCUGCCCCGUGCAACAAAUUGGGCAGACUCUGUGCUGACCAUGAGCUGGAAGAUUGGGAAGGCCCGCCACCGCUGGAACAAAUUGAAGAAUGCAAGCUUAUUUUAGUUGGUAAUCUCCUUUCAAACCCAUCUGUAAAUUUCCAGGCUCUUCAAUCCACACUGAAACGCUCAUGGAGAGCAGAACAGGCAGAUUUUUCACAACGUGAUACAGGCCUAUAUGUUGUAAGGUUUAAUUCGGUAGAGGAGAAAAAUCGUAUCCUUGAUGGAGGUCCCUGGUCGUUCUCAGGUCAUCUUGUCAUCCUAAAACCUUGGCUUCCUAACACGCCGUUGCAUUGCUAUGAUUUCUCUAAAUGUGCCUUUUGGGUCCACAUUCUCGGUCUGCCUCUCGAAUGGUGUUCAGAACAGAUGCUGGACAAAGUGGUUCAGCAUGUGGGACGAGUGAUUGAAACCAGAGUAGACACUAGGGAGGCUCCUAAUUUCAGAGCAGGAAGAGCUAGGGUCGAACUUACCCUCAGUCAGCCUUUGAAAUCAGGUCACUUACUCCGUAUUAAUGGCAAGACUUUCUGGCUUGAUUUCAGGUACGAGCGCCUCCCUCAUUUCUGCUACUCUUGUGGUAGAUUAGGC
rnacentral:lncRNA from 1 species